AACGAACGCUGGCGGUAGGCCUAACACAUGCAAGUCGAACGCGUCCUUCGGGACGAGUGGCAGACGGGUGAGUAACGCGUGGGAACGUACCCUUUGGUUCGGAACAACAGCGGGAAACUGCUGCUAAUACCGGAUAAGCCCUUCGGGGGAAAGAUUUAUCGCCAGAGGAUCGGCCCGCGUUAGAUUAGCUUGUUGGUGAGGUAAUGGCUCACCAAGGCUACGAUCUAUAGCUGGUCUGAGAGGAUGAUCAGCCACACUGGGACUGAGACACGGCCCAGACUCCUACGGGAGGCAGCAGUGGGGAAUAUUGCGCAAUGGGGCGAAAGCCUGGCGCAGCGACGCCGCGUGGGUGAUGAAGGCCUUCGGUCGGUAAAGACCCUCGUCGCAGGGAAGGAAUAAAGACAUCGGUAGUAAU
rnacentral:rRNA from 1 species